GGAAACUUUUCUCGGCGAGGCUCUGUGAGGAGAGUCUGUGGGGAAAACACUUCCUGGGGAAAUGUCGUAGGAAACGACCUUUGCUGGGGAUAUGAACUUGCUAAUCGUCCUCUAGCUGGGGAUUAGAACAAAUCUGUUAGAAAUAAUGCUGGGGAUGAGAUGAACACUGGGAACACCGCCCUCUUGUCCGUUGGGUAUGCAACCACUCC
rnacentral:lncRNA from 1 species